AGUCAUAUGCUUGUCUCAAAGAUUAAGCCAUGCAUGUCUCAGUACAAGCCAAAUUAAGGUGAAACCGCGAAAGGCUCAUUAAAUCAGUUAUGGUUCCUUAGAUCGUACCCACAAUUACUUGGAUAACUGUGGUAAUUCUAGAGCUAAUACAUGCAAACAGAGCCCCAACCGGAGACGGAAGGGGUGCUUUUAUUAGAUCAAAAUCAAUCGGCGGCGUUCACGCGUCGUCGUGCAUUUUGGUGACUCUGGAUAACUACUUGCUGAUCGCACGGUCUUGUACCGGCGACGCAUCUUUCAAAUGUCUGCCUUAUCAACUGUCGAUGGUAGGAUCUGCGCCUACCAUGGUUGUAACGGGUAACGGGGAAUCAGGGUUCGAUUCCGGAGAGGGAGCCUGAGAAACGGCUACCACAUCCAAGGAAGGCAGCAGGCGCGCAAAUUACCCACUCCCGGCACGGGGAGGUAGUGACGAAAAAUAACGAUGCGGGACUCAUCCGAGGCCCCGUAAUCGGAAUGAGUACAGUCUAAACCUCUUAACGAGGAUCAAUUGGAGGGCAAGUCUGGUGCCAGCAGCCGCGGUAAUUCCAGCUCCAAUAGCGUAU
rnacentral:rRNA from 1 species